AGGAUUAGGUGAGCUGUGAUUGACAGCUGAUUUCACCUAUUAGGAAGGGGCAGUCCCUUUUUAAGAGCCGAUUGGCUGCUGCCCGGGAUGCGUCAUGUCCUGUUUUCCCCCUGGGUGUUUGCAAUGUUAGCGGCAGUCUGUCAUUUGUCCAGCGUGCUGGUGCCCUCGUUGUGCUGUUAUAGUGGGUUACGUGACUGUUGAACCUCAGUUGGCUUUAGGUUGACCUGAUGUUGGUUAACAUAUGCCGGUAAAAUGUUAAUUCGUCUGGGGUGACCACUGUUCGGUGAGUGUACAGCACAUAUUCAUAACGUUGUGUGACGCUGGUAUUUAGUUCUAAUAUGAUAUUUGUUUUAUUCUAGGUUUCUCCCUUUCGUUCCAUUCAGUGUCUCUCCAUACGCUUUGUUUUUAACUAUUGCGCUGCAGUGUUGCCCCGCUGUUAACAACGAUAUUAUCUGCACUGCUAUAAUCUGAACUGUACACUGUCUGGUUCUGCUGGGCAUCUAGAAGUAACGCUCCACUUUUAACGUGACUAUUACAAAGCCAAGGUUCGCUCUCGGUGUGUGAACGAGUAGCUUUCCAUCAGCUUUGUUUUUAAUGCAUCGAGUAUCUGUUUACUUGGUUUGUUUACUUUUUUUUUUCUCUUAUUGUCUAAGUAGACAACAAUUUGUCUGUGAACUUGUCUCUGUCCAUAUGAUCCAAGGUACUAAUAUGUAAGAUUGCUCAUUGCAGUGGGUUCUUGAGGACUGUGCCCUGUUUAUAAUACUGACUGCUACAUUGUUAGUACCUACAUCUUGUAUAUUGCCUUAUUGUAUGGAUGUGGUUUAAUUGUCGUUGAUUCUCUAUUUGAUUCUUUUCUUUUAUUGUUUGUGGUGGUCAUCAGCCUUGUGAGUAAGGCUAGGCGCCACCAUUUUGUUUUGAGUGACCUAAUUAUUUACAUUGUUUUAAUUUGUUGCAGGAGCUGGGGUCCCAUGGGUGGAUGGAUCUGUCCGGUGGUGGUGCUUCCUCCUCAGUGCGUGCUGUGUAACACUUGAAGUGUGUGUGGUGUGAUCUAAGUGCACAGUGGGGUGAUUGUGUGUGCCUUUUUGUAAACAAGUCGUGAUUAAGUGAUCCCUCCCACUGGGGACCUCAGCCCUGCUGAUUACUAUGUGUUUGUUUGUUUCUAUUAAUUUUACUUUUUUUAGUGUGUGUUGAUUGUGGUGCAUUUUGAAGUGGAGAGAGUGUAUGUUUUAGAGUGCUCCUUUUACAAAGAUUAUGUGUAAAUAAAAAUCUAUUCUUGUAUUAUA